UUCAUCCUGAUGCUCGCACAUCGCUACCUGGUUGAUGUCUUACACCACUGGGCAGUUGUCGCUGUCGCCGUUGUGCACGUCCGGGUAAGCUGGACUGGCGAUGCGGGAUGAACCGAACGACUAGUUAAAGCGCCAAACUGCCCGCUCACCUAGAUCCCACAAAAGGUGUUGGUUCAUUUAGACAGCAGGACGGUGGCCAUGGAAGUCGGAAUCCGCUAAGGAGUGUGUAACAACUCACCUGCCGAAUGAACUAGCCCUGAAAAUGGAUGGCGCUGAAGCGAGCGGCUUAUACUAGUCCAUUGGGGAGAGUGCGUUUCCCCAAUGAGUAGGAGGGCGCGGGGCUCGUAGCGCAUCUUCGGCCGUGAGGCGGAGUGAAACGUGCCCCGGUG
rnacentral:ncRNA from 1 species